rnacentral:piRNA from 1 species
UUUUUAAAGACUUGUGUGUGUGAGUGUGU